rnacentral:rRNA from 1 species
AGCUUACGCGUUAAACAGGGCGCCUUGGGAUUACGUCCGCAAGGCUAUUACUCAAAGGAAUUGACGGGGACCCGCACAAGCAGUGGAGCGCCUGGUUUAAUUCGAUGAUCAGCGAAGAACCUCACCUGGGCUUGAACUAUAGCUGCAUCCCGGCAGAAACGCCGGGAGCCUUCGAGGGUGCUAUAGAGGUGCUGCAUGGCUGUCGUCAGCUCGUGUCGUGAGAUGUAGGGUUAAGUCCCACAACGAGCGCAACCCCUAUUCUGUAUUACAAUUAUUCAGAAGACUGCCUCGCCACAACGAGGAGGAAGGAGGGGACGACGUCCAGUCAUCAUAUCCCUUAUGUCCAGGGCUACACAGACGCUACAAUGGCUACUACAACGGGUUGCCAAGCCGCAAGGCGGAGCCAAUCCCAUCAAAAGUAGCCUCAGUUCAGAUUGCAGGCUGCAACUCGCCUGCAUGAAGCCGGAAUUGCUAGUAAUCGCGUAUCAGCACGGCGCGGUGAAUACGUUCUCGGGUCUUGUACACACCGCCCAUCAGGGCACGGGAGUUGCUCUUGCUCAAAGUCUCACUUUAUGUGGGCCAA